UACGUCGGGUGCAAGCGUUAAUCGGAAUUACUGGGCGUAAAGCGUGCGCAGGCGGUUUUGUAAGUCAGAUGUGAAAUCCCCGGGCUUAACCCGGGAACUGCGUUUGAAACUACAAGGCUAGAGUGUGGCAGAGGGGGGUGGAAUUCCACGUGUAGCAGUGAAAUGCGUAGAGAUGUGGAGGAACACCGAUGGCGAAGGCAGCCCCCUGGGUUAACACUGACGCUCAGGCACGAAAGCGUGGGGAGCAAACAGG
rnacentral:rRNA from 1 species